ensembl:lncRNA B- and T-lymphocyte attenuator-like
GAAGAGGAGGACUGCAGAGACUCAAAAGAUCUGGUUUGAGGUGAAAUACUUCACUGAUUGAAGAAGUGUGUGACUGGAAGGGAUCCCAGAGCAGAAAGAGGGCCAUUAUGAGACCAAAGCACGGCUGGGCCUUGGUGCACGUGUCCAUCCUGGCUGGACUCCUUCUCACCUGUAACACUGAAGCUACAGAUUCAGAAGAUUCAAACUGCUCUCAGAGGAUUACUGUACGCCGCCACACUGUAUAUAAAGCUACAGUUGGACAAACGCUGACGAUGAAUUGCACAGUUUUCUUCUGUGAUGAUACGCUACCGACAGUAUCCUGGACCAAAAACUCAUUCCUCAUCCCAGUCAGCAAAACCAGUCACAUCAACACUGAAUGGUCUUUGAUUAACAAACAGGAAGGAGUUUUACUUCUGAGCUUUAAAAGAAUUCACCUCAGUGAUUCUGGUCGAUAUAACUGUGUAAUGAAGGGCAGCGUGAGUCACGGCAUUAUUCUCUACGUCUAUGGUGAUAACGAAACUCGUCGUCCAUUGGAGAACAGCACAAGUUUGGAUUCAGGAUCCAAGGUGUAUAUGACAUAUGUCUACUCUGCUGUUGGGACUGCUUCAGUCGUCAUCGUCGUCAUCAUCGUAACAGUCGUAUUGUUGCGAGUGUGUAAAGGACGAUCUUAAAAGGAGGCCAAAACUCAAACUCUGGACCACUCACACCCCUCCUUAGGUGUCCACCUGUGGAACCAGUGCGAGAUCAAGAUGGGUAUUUGGACCUCCUUGAGAUCAGGUUCUCACAGAGGACCCUGUUACACAAAAGACAAGACAAAAGACAAAGACAAGACAAAAAAAAUGCAAAACCCUUUUUUUAAAUGUGAUUUUCUUUGUAACUGUUGUGUGAAUUGUCUCUUAUGUCAUAAUAACCACCUCAUUUAUUUCAGUAGAUUACUCCCACAGGUUCAAGAUGUUACUGAAUGUCCCUUCAAGUGUCAAUGUUCCAAACUACCAUAAAUUGCUAUUAAAUGAACAGAUUAAAACAACUCAAGUGUUCCUUUGCUGUGAAAAUAGUAAAUCAGAGAAACUCAUAAUUCACAUGUUAACCAUGUGUCUAAUUUACCAGGUUAUGUUUGAUAUCAAAUAAGCUGGGAACUCAUGAGUAUUAUCAUGAGUUAUUUUACGUUUUCUCUAUCACCUCUACUCCCAUAGAAGCAUACAAACAAAGCACCCACACAACCAUCUGACACCUCCAAAUUUACAUAAUUUGACCUACAGAACUUUCGAACCAAUGGGAACCAUUGAUUUCAAAUUAUUAAACGAAAAUUAUAUUUCCUUAAGAGUGACAUUAUUUCUAGCUUCAAAGCAAACUCAUCUAAACUGUUCAACAGGCGUCCCCAUUUUGCAAAUAAUUACACUCACAUAGUUUAUAUAUAUAUCCUUUUCAUCCACAUAUACAUAUAUAUUCUUUAGGUCAUUUUAAUUUGUUAUUAUUUAAUUUGUCUCAAUUUUGCUCCUUUAUUUUUUCUGUAUAUACUUUCUUCAUCUUCAUUCAAUAAUAUUCGUUCAGAGUGACCUAAUAAUUCAAGAGACAAUUUUCAUGAUAUCAAUGUGAACCAUUAAUUUGUUUACCUCUCACGUGUUUUAAUUAAAUGAUACCU